UGAGGAAUAUUGGGCAAUGCCCGAAAGGGUGACCCAGCAACGCCGCGUGGAGGAUGAAGGUCGUAAGAUUGUAAACUCCUGUUAGAGGGGAAGAAUAACUAAGUUUGGAGCUUAGUAUGACUGUACCCUCAGAGAAAGCCCCGGCUAACUACGUGCCAGCAGCCGCGGUAAUACGUAGGGGGCAAGCGUUGUCCGGAUUUACUGGGUGUAAAGGGCGCGCAGGCGGAAUGGAAAGUCAGUGGUGAAAUCCUACAGCUUAACUGUAGAACUGCCUUUGAUACUUUCAUUCUUGAGUUCGGGAGAGAGAGACGGAAUUCCAGGUGUAGUGGUGAAAUACGUAGAUAUCUGGAAGAACACCAGUUGCGAAGGCGGUCUCUUGGUCCGAUACUGACGCUGAGGCGCGAAAGCGUGGGGAGCAAACAGG
rnacentral:rRNA from 1 species